UUCUAAGAUGGAGAAUCAGGGUAGCUGGU
rnacentral:piRNA from 1 species